rnacentral:rRNA from 1 species
UGGGGAAUAUUGCACAAUGGACGAAAGUCUGAUGCAGCGAUUCUGCGUGGAGGAUGAAGCAUUACGGUGUGUAAACUCCUUUUCUGGUAGAAGACGAAUGACGGUAUACCAGGAAUAAGGGACGGCUAACUAUGUGCCAGCAGCCGCGGUAAUACAUAGGUCCCAAGCGUUAUCCGGAUUUACUGGGCGUAAAGAGUCUGUAGCCUGAUAUGUAAGUCUGUUUUCAAAUACUCCGACUCAAUCGGAGAAAGGGGAUAGAUACUGCAUAUCUGGAAGUUAUUGGGGGUUAGUGGAAUUUCCGGUGGAGCGGUGAAAUGCGUUGAUAUCGGAAAGAACGCCGAAAGUGAAAACAGCUAACUACAAUAAACUUGACGGUCAGAGACGAAAGCUUGGGGAGCAAACGGG